rnacentral:misc_RNA from 1 species
UCACCGCCUCGAAGAACCCGCACCCGGCAAGCAGCGGGCCGGUCCUGGAGCCCACCACGCCGGUGGGGAGCAGCACGGUGACGUGGAACCCGAAUAUGGCCUCCACGUUCUCCACGGCGCCUGCCUCCACCAUCCUCUUUGCGCCAAUACCGACCUCCUCACCCGGCUGGAAAAGGAGGACUACUGUGCCCUGAAUGGGGAAAAAAAUCAAACCUUUGGUGAAAUUGCAGAAACAACGAAACUACAAAACUUGAAGCCAGAACAACGUGAGAACGUCUCUCGUUUUCUUUUCUUUUCUUGAGCAAAUCUAUAUAUGGGCUGAG